rnacentral:rRNA from 1 species
AUGCUCCGCCUCCGGAGCUGCAUCGUCUCCCACCUCCUCUCCUCUCCGGCCGCCUUCCGUGUCUCUUCGCCCCACCGCCUCCUCUCCGCCGCCGCGGCCCCCAUUUCCCCGAGCCAGCGCUUCGCCGUGGAGGACUACCUCGUCUCCACCUGCGGCCUCACCCGAGCCCAGGCGCUCAAGGCCUCCACGAAGCUCUCCCACCUCAAGUCCCCCGCCAACCCCGACGCCGUGCUCGCCUUCCUCGCCGGCCUCGGCCUCUCCGGCGCCGACAUCGCCGCCGCCGUCGCCAAGGACCCGCGGCUGCUCUGCGCGGGCGUGGACAGGACCCUGGCCUCCAACGUCGUCGGGCUCACCGGCCUCGGCCUGUCCGGCUCCGACGUCGCGCUCCUCGCCACCAUCGCCGGCGAGCCCUUCCGGUUCAAGUCCGUCGUCCCCAAGCUGCAGUACUACCUGCCCCUCUUCGGCUCCUCCGAGAACUUCCUCCGGGCCCUCAGGAAGAGCUCCCACCUGCUCACGUCCAACCGCGACAGGGUCGUCGAGCCCAACGUCGCGCUCCUGCGGGAGUGCGGGCUAGCUGCUUGCGAUAUUGCCAAGCUGUGUAUGGUCGUGCCAAGGAUCCUCACCGCAAAUCCAGAGCUUGUCCGGGAGAUGGUGGCAUGCGCUGAAGCUCUAGGCGUGCCCCGCGGCUCUGGGAUGUUUAGGCAAGCGCUGCAGGCUGUCUCGUUCAAAAGCAAGGAGAAGAUCGCCGCCAAAGCGAGCUACUUGAAGAAGAUAUUCAGGUGGUCUGAUGCUCAAGUGAGCCAUGCUGUGUGUAAGGCUCCGAUUGUGCUGAGGAAGUCAAACAGCUCGCUGCAGCAAAGGUCCGAGUUCUUCCUCUCCGAGAUGGGGCUGGAACCGGCGUACGUUGCUCAUCGCCCGGCAUUGCUCUCUUACAGCAUGGAGGGCCGACUCAGGCCCAGGUACUAUGUUAUCAAGUUCCUUAAGGCAAAUGGAUUGCUAGGUCAGUACCGGGACUACUAUAAUAUAGUCAUGCUGAGCGACAAAGUAUUUAUGGAGAGGUUCAUAUGCCCUCACAAGAAGGCUGCACCACACCUCGCUAAAGACUAUGCAACUGCUUGCAAAGGGGAAGUGCCAGCUAAUUUCAGAUUUACAUGA